rnacentral:rRNA from 1 species
GAUGAACGCUGGCGGCGUGCCUAAUACAUGCAAGUCGAGCGAACGGACGAGAAGCUUGCUUUUCUGAUGUUAGCGGCGGACGGGUGAGUAACACGUGGAUAACCUACCUAUAAGACUGGGAUAACUUCGGGAAACCGGAGCUAAUACCGGAUAAUAUUUUGAACCGCAUGGUUCAAAAGUGAAAGACGGUCUUGCUGUCACUUAUAGAUGGAUCCGCGCUGCAUUAGCUAGUUGGUAAGGUAACGGCUUACCAAGGCAACGAUGCAUAGCCGACCUGAGAGGGUGAUCGGCCACACUGGAACUGAGACACGGUCCAGACUCCUACGGGAGGCAGCAGUAGGGAAUCUUCCGCAAUGGGCGAAAGCCUGACGGAGCAACGCCGCGUGAGUGAUGAAGGUCUUCGGAUCGUAAAACUCUGUUAUUAGGGAAGAACAUAUGUGUAAGUAACUGUGCACAUCUGGACGGUACCUAAUCAGAAAGCCACGGCGAACUACGU